rnacentral:lncRNA from 1 species
AUGGGGAGCACGAAGCGAGGCCUGGGGCGGGGCUUGGUCCUGGCGACGGGCUUGGAUUGGCGCGCUGCGGAUCUCCCUGCUGCCUUACAAGGCGGUGCGAGGCGAGCUAUUUUUAGAGGGCUAUAUAAGGGGGCUGAGGCUGCCGCCGGGCUGCCGGGUAACACGAGCGCGAGGGACGGGGAGGGUCGCGGCGACACUUGCGCUGGCUCCGGGGACGCCGAGGCGGCCGGGAUCGGGCUGCACGCCGGCCUCCGACCCUCGCUUUGGUGCCUAGCGGAGCCAGGGCGUUCGGAGCCGGUUCCCCUGAGAAGGGAAAGGGUCGCAUGUUGCCGUUCUGGCGUGGACGCGGCCGGUCAGGAGGCUGCCAGGGUGCAGAGAAGAAGCGCCAGAGGAGAAAGUGCCGCUCACAAUGGAGCAGAACAAAGGGGAGCGGAGCGCAGAGAGCAGCCUGUGCCCGCCCCGCGCCCGCACGCAGUCCCCGCCCCCCACGCCCCUUGGCGCCGCGGUGCGCCCCCCGCCCCCCAGCCUGUCCUGCCUUCUGACCCCGUGAAGGGGGAAUGCAGCCGGGGUCAGACCCCCAGUUAGCGCUGACUGGAAGGGGACACUUUACUGGAGUGUGUUAAAGACAAUAGAGGGAAGCUGGGUGGACGUGGGGUGCAGGCUGGAGCUGGCAACUUGCUCUGGUGUUAAAGGCAAGGCUCCCCAUGUGGCUUGGAGAGAGGAUGUCUACCUGCCCAAAGUGCGGUGGUGAGAGGAGAGGAACCGAAUUACUUUCUGAAGCUAUCAUAUAGAGUUUUAUCUAUAGAGACCCUGUUGUCUCUUAGGUGAAACCCUUGCACUACGCACGUUGUUGGGGUUGAACAGUUGUUUGCUUGACCUUAAGUGGUUAGUCGUUCAAGCUUCCCCAAAAUGCACUGAGAGCUGAACUUCCACUUCUGGAAUGAUUGCAGAAUUUGGUAUUUCUUCAGAGAUGAGAAACUUAAUUCACCCUGCAGUGGAAGAAACAUAUCCACCUUAAUCACCCUUCUCAGCUGUCUCGCCUUCUUACUAUGUGGAACUCCAUAUCUCAAUAUUUGAAAGAUUCUGUUUUAUAGAACAAACACCAUUUGAAAUUCAGUAUUUGUCAGGGGAAAUUAAACAGGAAUUAUUGAGUUGAGGACAAUCUAGUUUAUUUACUUUCUGAUGUCUGGGAUUCUGUUGGUCAGAUCUACCUGUAUAAUUGUGAAUUUACUGUAAAUGUAUGUGCAUGGACUACACAGAUCUUGGUGCAUUUAGUAUUAUACAUACAUAUUCAUGGUGCCAGGGGAUAAAUGGUAUAAAAAGGUUAAAAGUCCUACAUGAAUAAGGUGGUAUUACGAUAGCACACAUAUAACUGCCAGUAUAUGAGAAGACUGCCUGGGCCUUUCCCAGAGGUAGAAAAGCACUUAGAGCCAUCACAUCCCAAUGAAUGUGUUAACUUGCUCCUUAUGGUCAUCCCUACUGCCACUUCCUAGCCAUGAGACUUUAAGAAAAUUACUGGCUCAAACCCUCUGGGCUGUGCAUCUCAGAAACAGGAAUAGUGGUAUCUGCCUUGCCUGGUUAUUAUGAACAAUCAAAAUGUUAUAAAAUAAUGUUUGUAACUCACCUAGCAUAGUAUUUGGUACUAUUAGCUAAGUUCUAAAUGUUAGCCACCACAAUCUCCUGGCUUUAAGUAAAUUAAUAUCUAAACUAAUCAAACCCAUGGGGGUGAUGUACCAGUCUUAGAAGAAGGAGAUAGAAAUGUCUUGCCAAUUUGGAAUAGUUUCCCCUUCUCCCCCUCGACACGCUAUUCUGAUUGUGUGUGAGGACAGGGAGGAGGCCAUUGAGAAGUACUGGGGCAGGAGUCAUGCUUGUGAGUAAUAGCGGAAGGAAAGAAACUUCAAUGUAGGAAACUCGAGGCAAAAGCAAAGCAAGACAAAAGAAUAUAAUUUGAUGUUUGAGAUUCAAGUUAACUUAUUUUUUUGUUUUUGUGUUA